AAUGGGCGCAGCCUGAUGCAGCACGCCGCGUGAGGGAUGAAGGCCUUCGGGUUGUAAACCUCUUUUACAGGGAAGAAGCGAAAGUGACGGUCCUGCGAAAAAGCACCGGCUAACUACGUGCCAGCAGCCGCGGUAAUACGUAGGGUGCAAGCG
rnacentral:rRNA from 1 species